rnacentral:rRNA from 1 species
UACGUAGGGUGCGAGCGUUGUCCGGAGUUAUUGGGCGUAAAGAGCUCGUAGGCGGUGUGUCACGUCGGCCGUGAAAACCUGCAGCUUAACUGUGGGCGUGCGGUCGAUACUGGCAUCACUGGAGUUCGGCAGGGGAGACUGGAAUUCCUGGUGUAGCGGUGAAAUGCGCAGAUAUCAGGAGGAACACCGGUGGCGAAGGCGGGUCUCUGGGCCGAUACUGACGCUGAGGAGCGAAAGCGUGGGGAGCAAACAGG